CUCUUAUCAAGAGUAGGUGGAGGGACUGGCCCGAUGAUACCCGGCAACCGACGUUUGGAUCCAAGAUCCGGAGCGCACGGUGCUAAUUCUUGCGGAAACGUAAAUUUCUGAGAGAUGAGAG
rnacentral:ncRNA from 1 species